GACGUAGGGCGCGAGCGUUGUCCGGAUUUAUUGGGCGUAAAGAGCUCGUAGGCGGCUUGUCGCGUCGUUCGUGAAAACCCGGGGCUCAACUCCGGGCCUGCAGUCGAUACGGGCUGGCUUGAGUGCGGUAGGGGAGACUGGAAUUCCUGGUGUAGCGGUGAAAUGCGCAGAUAUCAGGAGGAACACCGGUGGCGAAGGCGGAUCUCUGGGCCGUAACUGACGCUGAGGAGCGAAAGCAUGGGUAGCGAACAGG
rnacentral:rRNA from 1 species